rnacentral:RNase_P_RNA from 1 species
CGCUCCCCAUCCGCUGCGUUCUCUGCUACAAACAACGACUUCUCCUGCUCUUACCAGCAGUUGAGAUGAUGUUUCCACUUGCAGAUGAGAAAUUCGGAGUAAUCUUCAAAUCUUCACCUGUGUCUUUGAGUCACCUUGACCGAGACCUCAGGACUGCCCGCGAGGGUCCAGCACGAUUUCGUGCCCGCAAUUGGCAUCAGAAAUUUACAGGGCUUCAGGCUGACCGUGUGUGACUUGUCACUCGCGUCGCAGCCCUGAAGGAUUCCCUAUGGAAGAGCCGUUGCGAAGAUUGUAUGGCGUGUCUCCCCGGUGAGAGCGCACUUACUUUAGUGCAAUCGCAGCGGAAGUCUACCCAUUUCCAGAAAUGGGCAAGCUUUCAAUUCGAUUCCGAUUACUCUGGGGAGCG